rnacentral:rRNA from 1 species
GAUGAACGCUGGCGGCGUGCCUAAUACAUGCAAGUCGAGCGAACAGACGAGGAGCUUGCUCCUCUGACGUUAGCGGCGGACGGGUGAGUAACACGUGGAUAACCUACCUAUAAGACUGGGAUAACUUCGGGAAACCGGAGCUAAUACCGGAUAAUAUAUUGAACCGCAUGGUUCAAUAGUUAAAGACGGUUUUGCUGUCACUUAUAGAUGGAUCCGCGCCGCAUUAGCUAGUUGGUAAGGUAACGGCUUACCAAGGCAACGAUGCGUAGCCGACCUGAGAGGGUGAUCGGCCACACUGGAACUGAGACACGGUCCAGACUCCUACGGGAGGCAGCAGUAGGGAAUCUUCCGCAAUGGGCGAAAGCCUGACGGAGCAACGCCGCGUGAGUGAUGAAGGUCUUCGGAUCGUAAAACUCUGUUAUUAGGGAAGAACAAAUGUGUAAGUAACUAUGCACGUCUUGACGGUACCUAAUCAGAAAGCCACGGCUAACUACGUG